rnacentral:misc_RNA from 1 species
GAAAUGCGAUAAGUAAUGUGAAUUGCAGAAUUCAGUGAAUCAUCGAAUCUUUGAACGCACCUUGCGCUCCUUGGUAUUCCUUGGAGCAUGCCUGUUUGAGUAUCAUGAAAUCUUCAAAGUAAAUCUUUUGUUAACUCAAUUGGUUUCUACUUUGGUAUUGGAGGUCUUUGCAGCUUCACACCUGCUCCUCUUUGUUCAUUAGCUGGAUCUCAGUGUUAUGCUUGGUUCCACUCGGCGUGAUAAGUUAUCUAUCGCUGAGGACACUGUAAAAGGUGGCCAAGGUAAAUGCAGAUGUACCGCUGCUAAUAGUCCAUUGACUUGGACAAUACUUUUAUGAUCUGAUCUCAAAUCAGGUAGGACUACCCGCUGAACUUAAGC